AUUGAACGCUGGCGGCAGGCCUAACACAUGCAAGUCGAGCGGAUGAAGGGGGCUUGCUCCUGGAUGCAGCGGCGGACGGGUGAGUAAUGCCUAUGAAUCUGCCUGGUAGUGGGGGAUAACGUCCGGAAACGGGCGCUAAUACUGCAUACGUCCUGAGGUAGAAAGUGGGGGGUCUUCGGACCUCACGCUAUCAGAUGAGCAUAGGUCGGAUUCGCUAGUUGGUGGGGUAAAGGCCUACGAAGGCGACGAUCCGUAACUGGUCUGAGAGGAUGAUCAGUCACACUGGAACUGAGACACGGUCCAGACUCCUACGGGAGGCAGCAGUGGGGAAUAUUGGACGAUGGGCGAAAGCCUGAUCCAGCCAUGCCGCGUGUGUGCAGAAGGUCCUCGGAUUGUAAAGCACUUUAAGUUGGGAGGAAGGGAAGUAAGUUAAUACCUUGCUGUAUUGACGGUACCAAGAGAAUAAGCACCGGCUAACUUCGUG
rnacentral:rRNA from 1 species